CAGCAGCCGCGGUAAUACGUAGGUGGCAAGCGUUGUCCGGAAUUAUUGGGCGUAAAGGGCUCGCAGGCGGUUUCUUAAGUCUGAUGUGAAAGCCCCCGGCUCAACCGGGGAGGGUCAUUGGAAACUGGGAAACUUGAGCGCAGAAGAGGAGAGUGGAAUUCCACGUGUAGCGGUGAAAUGCGUAGAGAUGUGGAGGAACACCAGUGGCGAAGGCGACUCUCUGGUCUGUAACUGACGCUGAGGAGCGAAAGCGUGGGGAGCGAACAGGAUUAGAUACCCCGGUAGUCCCUGUCUCUUAUAA
rnacentral:rRNA from 1 species